rnacentral:rRNA from 1 species
UUUCCUUCGGGACUGAUUAUUUUGUGACUGAGUGGCGGACGGGUGAGUAACGCGUGAGUAACCUGCCUUUAGGAGGGGGAUAACAGUUGGAAACGGCUGCUAAUACCGCAUAAGCGCACAGUACCGCAUGGUACAGUGUGAAAAACUCCGGUGGUGUGAGAUGGACCCGCGUCUGAUUAGCUAGUUGGCAGGGCAACGGCCUACCAAGGCGACGAUCAGUAGCCGGUCUGAGAGGAUGAACGGCCACACUGGAACUGAGACACGGUCCAGACUCC